ACGAACGCUGGCGGCGUGCUUAACACAUGCAAGUCGAACGGAAAGGCCCCUUUGGGGGUACUCGAGUGGCGAACGGGUGAGUAACACGUGAGUAACCUGCCCUUGACUUCGGGAUAACUUCAGGAAACUGGGGCUAAUACCGGAUAGGAAUCCUUGCUGCAUGGUGGGGGUUGGAAAGCUUCGGCGGUUUUGGAUGGACUCGCGGCUUAUCAGCUUGUUGGUGGGGUAGUGGCUUACCAAGGCUUUGACGGGUAGCCGUCCUGAGAGGGCGACCGGCCACAUUGGGACUGAGAUACGGCCCAGACUCCUACGGGAGGCAGCAGUGGGGAAUAUUGCACAAUGGGCGGAAGCCUGAUGCAGCAACGCCGCGUGCGGGAUGACGGCCUUCGGGUUGUAAACCGCUUUCAGCAGGGGCGAAGCUUGUGGUGACGGUACCUGCAGAAGAAGCACCGGCUAACUACGUG
rnacentral:rRNA from 1 species